GCCCACUUUCCUCCAUCUUAGAACCUCUGACCCCCCUGUACAAAGUAAAACCCCCUGUACAGGUGUUAAAACCCCCCUGUACAAUACUAAAAAAUUUUCCCCUCUAAUUUGUAAUUACUUUUACUACACCAUCGAACCCUCUGUGACCACUUGUUCCACCUUCAAAGCUGGUAACUCAUUCCAUGGCUCAAACCCAAAAUCACAGCUGUUUCCAGCUGCUUGCCAGGGUCUAAAAUGCUUCUGACCAAGGCCUGGAACCUCUGAAAAUGUCUGAGGGACAUUUUGAGUUCUGGGAUUUUCCAAGCUCGGUGACUUUGAUUCCACAGCUCUGUGACUGGAACUGUCAGAGCCCUGCAGAACUUGUAAAACUUUUACACUGUAAAACGUGUAAAACUCCACCAGAGGAGGGAGUCCAUGGCUGCAGCUCCCUGGCAAUCCUGGCAGCCCUCAGAGCUUGUGAGCUAACAGCACUUGGUGAGUUUUGUGCUCCCCCAGGAUCAGAGCUGGGCCCUGGCCUGGCCACGCUGCUCAGCCCCCAGGAUUUGCUCUGACACCUCCUCCUGUCCCUGCCUGCUGCUGUUCUCAUCUCUUCUCUUUCACAGCUGCCCUUUGGAAGAUCCUGCUUUGCCCCUGGAACUUGCUCUGAGCAGCCUCGGGGUUUGUCCCCCCUCCCAGCACAGCAAACCCUCAUUCCUCAUUCCUGGAGUACUCUCAGGACACAGAUCCUGGAGGGAAAUUUUGCACUUGAAAGCAACUGAGCCUCUCAAGCCUCCCAGCUCUGCCCCUGAGGCUCUGUUAUCAUCCCACCCUCUGUGCAGAGGAGCUUCUGAAAUGGAUGGAACUAAUAAUCCUGGAAGAACUCCGGCUGCUGUUCCAGGCUCUGGCUGCAGCAGUGGAGCCUUGAUUUCAAAUCCUGCAGCGACAAAUGGAUUAUUUCAGUGGCAAAUUGGUCCCUGGGGAUCAACAAUUUGGGGAGCUGAAUGCUGGAACUGGGAAGCAGCAGAUCGAUUCCCAACACGUGGAGCCAAGGUGAAUGCCCUGCAAACUGCCCUGAGAGCAGCAGUGAGGAGAACACAGCCCUGCCUGGCUGAGGGGAGCCUGGGGAAUGUGCCAAAGGGAAAAUCAGGAGCUCUGGAACAAGGGAAGUGAGGGACAGUCCCAUGGAUUUGCUGGUAAAACCUGGGGGCUGUUGUGGGGCAGUGGGAUUUGACUAAAAGAAGUGGAACUGAUAUCUCCAAGAAGGAGGCUGUGGGACUUGGGACAGCAGUGGCAGUGGCAUUUCCAUACCUGUCACCUCCAGCCCUUCCCAGACAUCACGGACAGCAUCCCAAAAUUCCUGCUUUCACAUAAAGGUCUCCUCAAGGUUGGGGACUCAUUAUUUUCCCCAGUGACAACAGCUUUGAAAUAACCCCAUGAAAGAAUUCCAGAAUGAGGAAGGACCCGUGGAAGGUGAGAACUGAAUGGAGUUUGUGAGGGAGGAAGGUUUGGGGUGCUGGGAGGUGAAUUUUGGCUGCAGAGCCCCCAGCAGCCUCUGGAGCACAGCCAGCAGAGAAAUCCCUCCCCAGGGAUCCUGCCCUUGUCCUCAGCACUGGGAAACUUGACAAACUAAACACACUUUUAUUCUCUUAAGAGUUCCUUUGCUUGUUCAGCUUCCAAAUAGCUGUUCUGCAGUUCGAAUGGCCUGUUUUCCAUCUCUCCUAGCAGUUAGAAUACUUGGAAAUCGACUUUUCCUUUUGUUUUCUGGUAGCACUGGAUGUUUUUCUAUGUUAUCAGGAGGCAACACUGUGGUGCCCCUUGAAUUAAACUGUCAAAUUUUAAGAACAGCUGUAAGGGAAGAACUGAAAUCCCAUUUUAGGUUCUUUUCUCCUUUGGAAAAUGGCUAUUUGAAACACCAAGGCUCCAUUUGCCUGUUUUCUUUAUAUCCCCUUCCACCGUUUAAAGUUUUGUUGUUGCUUGCAGUCUAGUUGGGAUUAUAUAAAUCCUAAAUAAAGGUGGAUCCGUA